rnacentral:rRNA from 1 species
GAUGAACGCUGGCGGCGUGCCUAAUACAUGCAAGUCGAGCGAACAGACGAGGAGCUUGCUCCUCUGACGUUAGCGGCGGACGGGUGAGUAACACGUGGAUAACCUACCUAUAAGACUGGGAUAACUUCGGGAAACCGGAGCUAAUACCGGAUAAUAUAUUGAACCGCAUGGUUCAAUAGUGAAAGACGGUUUUGCUGUCACUUAUAGAUGGAUCCGCGCCGCAUUAGCUAGUUGGUAAGGUAACGGCUUACCAAGGCAACGAUGCGUAGCCGACCUAAGAGGGUGAUCGGCCACACUGGAACUGAGACACGGUCCAGACUCUUACGGGAGGCAGCAGUAGGGAAUCUUCCGCAAUGGGCGAAAGCCUGACGGAGCAACGCCGCGUGAGUGAUGAAGGUCUUCGGAUCGUAAAACUCUGUUAUUAGGGAAGAACAAAUGUGUAAGUAACUAUGCACGUCUUGACGGUACCUAAUCAGAAAGCCACGGCUAACUACGUG